AGACGGACCCGGCGGGAGAGGAGGAAGCCGGGUUGUGGGCGCGGAGCUGAGGCGGAGGCGGGGCCGGGGCGGGAAGGGGCGGCCCCAGCUGGGUCGGGCGAGGCUGGCUGCGGGAAACCGAAACUGACUGAAGCCGUGUUCUUCCCGCCGAGACCAUGCCGCCCCAUCGACCCUGCUGCGGCCAGAGCCACCCAGGGCGGGCCCACUCACCGCAGGCUCGGGCCACUUGGUUCCAAACCUCCACUCCCAUCCAGGGGCCCGGCACACCCACCACACUCCCACUCUCAGAGUAUCGCAGAAUCCGAUCCGUUGCUCCCUCUGGACUGGAAUCCGUAUCCUCGGCAUUUCAUCAUUCCAAGAUUCUCUACUCCACGUACCCUUGCUGCCACCCUCUUCUACUUUCCAUCGCUGAAGUUGGUGAAAGAGGCGCCUGCCCCCAGUUUUGUGGUCUCUCAACUCCACGUGUUCGUUUUCACACUCGGUGAAAUUGCCUUUUUAAUUGUCGCAAGUAGCAUCCACAUCACUAAAGUCAAAGGACACUCUCCUUUCUCGUGUUAACUGAUCUGAGCAAAAUUCCUUCUUUCUCCUUAAAACACGUCUUCCUGUGGCGGGGGUGCUCCACUUUCCUGUCUGUCCCCAGUCUUGGCGUGCUUGUCUACUCUGGGUGACCACCAAAUAACAGAGUUUUCAAGGUCUCAGACCUUUCCUCUUACUCCACAAUUUUUCCCUGAAUGAUUUAACCUGCUGUCAACAUUUAAAUCAAUAUAUCCCAAAUUUGCAACUCUAAUCUUUGCUCCUCUGAGCUCCAAAUCCGUUUAUCUAGCUUCCUAUUCAGCUACUCCUGGUAACAAGCACCUCAAAUGGAACCCAUCCAAAACUGAAUGCGUCCUUUCCCUGCUUGCUUUCAACUCCCUGUCUCCCUGUGAUAGUGAAGACACCACUAUCCAGUGUUUCCCAAACUCUGCCUUCACCUCGGCAUCUAACAAAUCGCCAAGAUUCUACUUCCUAAAUAACUCUGAAGUCUGUCCACUUCCUACCAUUUCCAGUAUUACGUAUCAUAAUGUGCUUACUGCACGUGCGUUUUCCCGGCCCACACUCAGUGAUGUCUCGUUGGUAGACUGUAAUGGGCCAUGGUCGAAGUAUUUACACCAUGGAAAUUAGCCAACAUUAUGAAUCAUGAAUCAGGGAUCGAUUUGUUUUGCUGAUUGUCUCUAGACUUCAGAAAGUGAUGGGGAAGAUGUUAAUAAUGUAGAUUAAACUUAAAAAUGUGUUUAGUGCUGAAACAAGAUUGCAGUUUAAUGAGUUUAUACAAGGGUAAGAAGUAGUUUAACAGAUCACAUAUCAGAUUUAAGGACAAUAAAUUUGUUGGCAAAAAGUGGAUCGGUAUGUAAUUUCACUAGUCACAUCAUGGUUGAGUUACAAGCAUUGGAUGGAUUCAGAUACAAGCCUUUGGCAAAAAAGAAGCAAAGCUUUCUGUGAGAAUCAGUCAAGUAGAUAGAACUGACAAUAAAGAGUGUCUGCCUUUUACUUGUGUAUUGUUUAUUACACAUCCUUUAUAUCAGAAACAUUUAUAACACACAUAUGGUUGUAUAUAUAGGUGGAAAUAAAAAGCAGAUGAGAUUUUAGUCAGUUUUUUUUUUUAUACUUUUAAGUUCUAGGGUACAUGUGCAGAACGUGCAGGUUUGUUACAUAGGUAUGUAUGUGCCAUGUUGGUUUGCUGCACCCAUCAAGUUGUCAUUUACAUUAGGUAUUUCUCCUAAUGCUAUCCCUCCCCCAGCACCCCACCCCCUGACAGGCCCCGGUGUGGGUGCGUGAGGUUCCCCACCCUGUGUCCAUGUGUUCUCAUUGUUCAAGUCCCACCUAUGAGUGAGAACAUGUGGUGUUUGGUUUUC
rnacentral:lncRNA from 10 species